CAGCAGUAGGGAAUCUUCCGCAAUGGACGAAAGUCUGACGGAGCAACGCCGCGUGAGUGAUGAAGGCUUUCGGGUCGUAAAACUCUGUUGUUAGGGAAGAACAAGUGCUAGUUGAAUAAGCUGGCACCUUGACGGUACCUAACCAGAAAGCCACGGCUAACUACGUGCCAGCAGCCGCGGUAAUACGUAGGUGGCAAGCGUUAUCCGGAAUUAUUGGGCGUAAAGCGCGCGCAGGUGGUUUCUUAAGUCUGAUGUGAAAGCCCACGGCUCAACCGUGGAGGGUCAUUGGAAACUGGGAGACUUGAGUGCAGAAGAGGAAAGUGGAAUUCCAUGUGUAGCGGUGAAAUGCGUAGAGAUAUGGAGGAACACCAGUGGCGAAGGCGACUUUCUGGUCUGUAACUGACACUGAGGCGCGAAAGCGUGGGGAGCAAACAGGAUUAGAUACCCUGGUAGUCCACGCCGUAAACGAUGAGUGCUAAGUGUUAGAGGGUUUCCGCCCUUUAGUGCUUAAUUUAAGCGGCGUUAAGCUCCGUCAGACUUUCAUCCAUUGCGGAAGAUU
rnacentral:rRNA from 1 species